GCCCGCCUAGCUCAAUCGGAUAGAGCGUGAGACUUUUAAGUCUGUGGGCUUCAAUUAAUCUCAAGGCUGCGGGUUCGACCCCCGCGGUGGGCU
rfam:Phanerochaete carnosa HHB-10118-sp unplaced genomic scaffold PHACAscaffold_8, whole genome shotgun sequence.